GCUUCGCUGAUCCUUGCUGUCCCACCUCCCCUAAGCCUGUUCCUAAGACCUAGCUCAAGAAACCUGACUCUCCUUUGAAGCCAUGCCCAGGAGGUUCUCACUCAGAACCCCAAAUCCAGGAGGAAACUUGGCAGAACUGGGCCAUGAAGAUUCCAGCUUGUUUCGCUUCUCUCAUUUCCA
rnacentral:lncRNA from 1 species